AACGAACGCUGGCGGCAGGCUUAACACAUGCAAGUCGAGCGGGCGCUUUCGGGCGUCAGCGGCGGACGGGUGAGUAACGCGUGGGAACGUGCCCUCUUCUACGGAAUAGCCUCGGGAAACUGAGAUUAAUGCCGUAUACGUCCCGUAAGGGAGAAAGAUUUAUCGGAGGAGGAUCGGCCCGCGUUGGAUUAGGUAGUUGGUGGGGUAAUGGCCUACCAAGCCGACGAUCCAUAGCUGGUUUGAGAGGAUGAUCAGCCACACUGGGACUGAGACACGGCCCAGACUCCUACGGGAGGCAGCAGUGGGGAAUCUUGGACAAUGGGGGCAACCCUGAUCCAGCCAUGCCGCGUGAGCGAUGAAGGCCUUAGGGUUGUAAAGCUCUUUCAGCUGGGAAGAUAAUGACGGUACCAGCAGAAGAAGCCCCGGCUAACUCCGUGCCAGCAGCCGCCGUAACAC
rnacentral:rRNA from 1 species